rnacentral:rRNA from 1 species
GGGGGGCUUUAGGUCUGCUGUCAAGGUAGAAGCUUAACUUCGGUUCGGCAGUGGAAACUGGAGCGCUAGAGUGCGACAGGGGUAGAGGGAAUUCCCAGUGUAGCGGUGAAAUGCGUAGAGAUUGGGAAGAACACCGGUGGCGAAAGCGCUCUACUGGGUCGCGCCUGACCCUCAGGGACGAAAGCUAAGGUAGCGAAAGGGAUUAGAUACCCCUGUAGUCUUAGCCGUAAACGAUGGAUACUAGGCGUGGUUUGUAUCGACCCAAGCCGUGCCGAAGCUAACGCGUUAAGUAUCCCGCCUGGGGAGUACGCACGCAAGUGUGAAACUCAAAGGAAUUGACGGGGGCCCGCACAAGCGGUGGAGGAUGUGGUUUAAUUCGAUGCAACGCGAAGAACCUUACCAGGGCUUGACAUCCCGCGAAUCUUGCUGAAAGGUGAGAGUGCCUUCGGGAGCGCGGAGACAGGUGGUGCAUGGCUGUCGUCAGCUCGUGUCGUGAGAUGUUGGGUUAAGUCCCGCAACGAGCGCAACCCUCGUCCUUAGUUGCCAGCAUUAAGUUGGGCACUCUAGGGAGACUGCCGGUGACAAACCGGAGGAAGGUGAGGAUGACGUCAAGUCAGCAUGCCCCUUAUGCUCUGGGCAACACACGUCCUACAAUGGUCGGGACAAAGGGGAGCGAGCCCGCGAGGGUCAGCGAAUCCCAGCAAACCCGGCCUCAGUUCAGAUUGCAGGCUGCAACUCGCCUGCAUGAAGGAGGAAUCGCUAGUAAUCGCCGGUCAGCAUACGGCGGUGAAUUCGUUCCCGGGCCUUGUACACACCGCCCGUCACACCAUGGAAGCUGGUUCAGCCCGAAGUCGUACCUAAACCUUUCGGGGGAGGGGGGGCGCGAAAGCUGGGCUAGUGACUGGGGUGAAGUCGUAACAAGGUA